rnacentral:lncRNA from 1 species
GAAGAGCUGAAGAUUUCAAACAAAAGAAACUGAUGCAGGAGGGUGCAGCUUUGGAGUCAAGAAUGAAGUUCUAGGAGAUAGAGAGCAAAGAAAUGGUGGGAGAGGAGGUCAAAAAAUACUAGGCUUUAGAAUUUCACCAUAUGAAUUUUGGGAGAGAGGAGCACAGUUCAGCCCAUAACUAACACACGACGGAAUGAAGUUGAUAAUAGUGAGACCUUGUUGGUACAAGACUAUGUAACAUAACCUGCGCUUCUCAACAAAGAAUUGCUUUUCUGACUUCUGCACUCAAUAGCAAGACAAAUCUCUCCUCUGCCUUCUCCUUAUCAGACUACUCAACAUGAAGGCAAUAAGAAUGAAGACCUCUAUGUAUAAUAAUUGACUUCCACUUAAUAAAUAUCCCCACUUUUGUUCCUAGAGCAACACGCUGUCCUGGAUAGCUAACGUGUUUAUGAAUGCAAGGAAAUUUUCAAAAAGGGAGUUUGAAAUUUAACUCCACAAACUACUAUCUGGAUUGGAAUGCUACAUUAAAUGUAUUAUAAUUUUGUAUGGACAUAUAAGGAUGGGGAAUGAAAAGCAUCCAAGGCCAUAUGUUGAUAAUCUUUUGAUAUGUUAAGAAAUAAUCUAGUGUUAUUUUCUAUUUCUUCUCAAAUGUUUUUA